rnacentral:lncRNA from 1 species
GCCACAUGGCACUUUUUACUGUAGCCAUCCUCAUCCAAAUACCCUGAAGUUUUAUGGGUGCAGUUGUCCUAAUAAUUGCCCAUGGACUCACAUCAUCUAUACUGUUUUGCCUUGCAAACUCAAAUUAUGAACAAUAUUUACAAAAGUAACUCCUACCUCACCUACAUAAAAACCUCCAUCACAUGAGCACUUCAUUACCAGUCUCAUUCCAACUACUACAUUUAUUUACCCACUUCAGGAAACCAUCAUCUCAAAAUGACACUGAAAGACCACCCAAACCCUAAAACUCUCACUUAGCUUUAAACUAGAUUAUUUUUCAAUAGUAUUUAUACCGGUAGCACUCUUCAUCACAUGGUUGGUUAUAGAAAUAUAUACACUCAGGCCCUAAUAUCAAUCAUUCUUCAAAUAUUUACUCACAUUUCUCAUCACCAUACUAAUUCUAGUCACUACCAACUUUUCAUUGGAUGAGAGGGAGCAGGUAUCGUAUCUUUACUACUAAUCAGCUGAUGAUGUGGCUGAACAGAUGCUAACACAGCAGCCCUAUAAGCAAUUCUACAUAAUCGCAUUGGAGACAUUGGCUUCAUCUUAGCAAUAGCAUGGUUCCUAUCAUUCUCUAAUACAUGAGAAUUUCAACAGAUAUUUAUUCUUAACCCCAACCCCAAUAUCCUCCUACUAAUUGGGCUCCUAGUAGCAGCAACUGGCAAAUCAGUUCCAUUUGGACUUCAUCCAUGACUUCCAUCAGCCAUGGAAGGCCCAACUUCCAUCUCUGCCCUCCUUCAUUCUAGCAUAAUAGUAGUAGCAGGUAUCUGCCUACUAAUUUGCUUUUACCCCUUAAUACAAAAUAAUAUAAUCAUUCAGGCACUUACACUAUGCUUAGGUGCCAUCACCACUUUAUUCACAGCGAUCUGAGCUCUAACACAAAAUGAUAUCAAAAAAAUUGUAGCAUUUUCUACCUCGAGUCAACUAGGUCUCAGUAGUUACAACUGGCAUUAAUCAACUUCACCUAGCAUUUCUUCAUAUCUAUACUCACACUUUCUUAAAGCCAUAGUGUAUAUGCUCUGGAUCUAUUAUUCAUAAUCUAAAUAAUGAACAAGACAUCUUCACUUCCUCCUCACUUAGCAAUUGGUAGUAUUUUUGCUGGAUUUUUCAUCUCCAGCAAUAUUACUCCUAUACCUAUUCCCCAAAUAACUAUGCCCCUCUUCCUAAAACUUACAGCCCUUGGCAUAACUAUUCUAGGAUUUUCAGUAGCAAUAGAACUUAAAAAGCAACACCAAAAAAUAUAGCCCAGCUCUAAAAACUAGCCUCGAUCACUGUAUCCAGCCAAAAAGGCCUAACCAAACUCU